AUUGAACGCUGGCGGCAGGCCUAACACAUGCAAGUCGAACGAGUGGCGGACGGGUGAGUAAUGUCUGGGAAACUGCCCGAUGGAGGGGGAUAACUACUGGAAACGGUAGCUAAUACCGCAUACCAUCGGAUGUGCCCAGAUGGGAUUAGCUAGUAGGUGGGGUAACGGCUCACCUAGGCGACGAUCCCUAGCUGGUCUGAGAGGAUGACCAGCCACACUGGAACGUGGACACGGUCCAGACUCCUACGGGAGGCAGCAGUGGGGAAUAUUGCACAAUGGGAGCAAGCCUGAUGCAGCCAUGCCGCGUGUAUGAAGAAGGCUUUAGGGUUGUAAAGUACUUUCAGCGAGGAGGCGUUACCCGCAGAAGAAGCACCGGCUAACUCCGUGCCAGCAGCCGCGGUAAUAC
rnacentral:rRNA from 1 species